UGAGUAACCUGCCCUUAACUCUGGGAUAAGCCCUGGGAAACUGGGUCUAAUACCGGAUAUGACUCCUCAUCGCAUGGUGGGGGGUGGAAAGCUUUUUGUGGUUUUGGAUGGACUCGCGGCCUAUCAGCUUGUUGGUGAGGUAAUGGGCUCACCAAGGCGACGACGGGUAGCCGGCCUGAGAGGGUGACCGGGCCACACUGGGACUGAGACACGGCCCAGACUCCUACGGGAGGCAG
rnacentral:rRNA from 1 species